rnacentral:rRNA from 1 species
GAUGAACGCUGGCGGCGUGCCUAAUACAUGCAAGUCGAGCGAACAGACGAGGAGCUUGCUCCUCUGACGUUAGCGGCGGACGGGUGAGUAACACGUGGAUAACCUACCUAUCAGACUGGGAUAAUUUCGGCAAACCGGCUCUAAUACCGGAUAAUAUAUUGAACCGCAUUGCUCAAUAGUGAAAGACGGUUUUGCUGUCACUUAUAGCUGGAUCCGCGCCGCUUUAGCUAUUUGGUAAGGUAACGGCUUACCACGGCAACGAUGCGUAGCCGACCUGACAGGGUGAUAGGCCACACGGGAACUGAGACACGGUCCAGACUCCUACGGGAGGCAGCAGUAGGGAAUCUUACGCAAUGGGCGAAAGCGUGACGGAGCAAGGCCGCGUGAGGGAUGAAGGUGUUCGGAUCGGAAAACUCUGUUAUUAGGGAGGAACAAAUGUGUAAGUAACUAUGCACGUAUUGACGGUACCGGAUCAGAAAGCCACGGCUAACUACGUG